AGAGUCGACCUAUGAAAUGAUCUGUCUGCAUGCAUUAACAUGGUCAGAUUUUUCAAACAAACACACGGGCAAGCCAAGAUUCACCAAACAAAAUAUUUGCAAGGCUAAUGACCUCGAGGACAUUGGUCUACAGGUAAUACAAUCAGGCGACCCCUAACCCACAAGAAACCUGGUCUGUACAUAACUGUAGAAGUUCGAAAUGAAUCAUGUUCUGUAGAUAAUGUCUCCGACUGCUGAUAUUGGUGCACUCAAUCUAUCAGCCAAAAACAAUAAAGCACUGGACUAAUUUCAGUUUUCAAAGAUCUCCAUUGUUUGCACCUAGGUUUACUUAUUAUAAUCAAUCAUAAAAGUAUCUUAAAAUACAGUUGAAAUAAUUGUAACAUGCUAAAAUGUAUUAAAAUGACCUGUCAUUAUACAAUAAGGCCCUGUGUCAAAUGACUUUUGCCUAAUUUAUAUAGAAUACAUAACAACAAAAGAACAAUCAGGUAUAACAGUCUUUUUUUAUUCUCCAUUCCAAGCCAUCAAUGAACAUUCCUUACUGUUUGCACCAUUAUAAAAGGCCAAAACUUUUCAUCCAUUAUUUUUUCAUAUAGUUAAGGAAAGGAUAUGUGAAAGUCUAAAUUAGAUCACUAUUGAAUGCUAUUCCGAUAAACCAUUUUUAAAAUUCAUCAGGCUCACACACAAAGACAAGACUACUCAUUCCAUUCAAAAUUUCCAAUGUCAAUGUCACGUUUUUUUUCUCUGUUGUCCAGUUUUUUUUCUCCUGGUUUUCCUAUACUCAUCCCUCAAAUUUUGCUGGCUUUCAUCUCACCACAAAUGCUGCAAACACAGGCUGCCCCUCUGCAAUGAUGUGUGGGGCACAAAGACUCAACACUGCAUCCAUGUCUCACAUCUCUUCCUACAUGUACCUCACUCCCCCUCUCUACACUUGAGUGGUUGUAUUUCCUUUUAGUUAUCUGUAUACUCCUUUGCCACAACGGACAUUUUUAUAUUUAUCUUCAGAAGCUUGUGUUGGAGGUUUUUUCGGAUCAUUAGGGACUUCACAUUUAUAUUAGCUUCAGACCAAGUCAACAGCCUGACUUAUUGCCUCACCGAUUGCCUCAGGAAUCUGGAUGUCGCCAGUCAGGUUCAAGUCCUUUUUUAAUUCACAGUCAAUUUGCACUUCAACGGCAUCCUCUGGCUUGUCAAUGCCGUUGACACAUUCCUUUUGCUGUGGCUCCGGGGCAGACACGGCAGCUAGCUUGGCUGCCUGCUCCUGACACUCCCCAUUGACCUCAGGGGCAGAAGGCUCAGCAGUAGCCUCCGCUGCGGAAACAUCUUCCCUGUUGUCCAGCACAGCAUCCUGUGGCCCAGCGCUGGCCUCCUCUGCAGCAGCAGCUUCAGGUUCAAGCUCCGCUACGGAUUCUUCUACAGGUAGGGGGAGCUCUUUAGCGGCUGGUUCUAGGACGGAUUCUGUUUCUGCGGCUGCCUCUGGAUCUGCGGCUGCCUCUGACUCUGACACAGCUUCUGCAAUUGAUGUAGGCUCCUCCUCCAGUGUGGGUGAAGCUGCUUCUGCCUCUAUUGGUGCCUCGGGCACAGCCUCAGGUUCUGGGGCCUCCCCUGUAACAGUCUCUGUUUCAGGCUCUGGAGCAGCAUUUUCAGGUUCUGUAGUGUCUGCCACCUCUGUGACUUGUUCUGUAGCCUCAGAAUCCUUUUCUGGUGCUGCGGUUAGUUCCACAGAGGCUGCCGCAGGCUCUUCUGAUGCAGGCUCUUUUGGUGCUGCCUCAGGCUUUUCUGGUGCAGGCUCUUUUGGUGCUGCCGCAGGCUCUUCUGCUGCAUGCUCUUUUGGUGCUGACGCAGGCUCUUCUGGAGCAGGCUCUUCCACUGCAGGCUCUUUUGGUGCUGCCACAGGCUCUUUUGGUGCAGGUUCUUUUGGUGCUGCCGCAGGCUCUUCUGGUACAGGCUCUUCCACUGCAGGCUCUUUUGGUGUAGCCACUGUUUCGUCUAGUGCCGCUGGUUCUUCCGGUGCCUCUGUUUUAUCUGGUGCUGUUACAGGUUCCUCUGGUGAUGCUGCUGAUUCCUCAGCUGCUGCAGGUUCUUCCAGUGCUGACACUGGCUCUUCUGGAGCUGCGGCUGGUUCCUCUGCUACUGCUGCAGGUUCUUCCGGUGCCAACACUGGCUCUUCUGGAGCUGCAGGUUCUUCUGGUGCUGCAGCUGGUGCUGGCUCCUCUGGUGCUGCAGCUGGUUCUUCUGAAGCUACUGGUUUUUCUGCUGUUGGCGCUGAUUCUGCCAUUGCUGCCACAGGUUCAUCUGGUACAGUUGCUGGCUCUGCGGUGGCCCCCUUGGCCACAGCAUCUAUAGCUGACAGGGCCUCUUCUGUCACAUCUUUGAUGGUUACCGCUGCCGACUCCACUGCUCCCUCUACCGCAGCAGACACCUUAGGAGCAUCCUUCGCUGCCAACUCAGCGACCGGAGCUGGUGCUUUGCUCUCCACGGCAUGGGCCAUGGCCUCAACGGCACUCACAGCAGCCACAGUAAUCUCCUCCUUCUUGUCCUUUGGGUCGCUGACAUCGUACCCCUUCUUCCUCUUGCUCAGCUUGCCUCCCAUGGUGUCUCCUAAAAGUGAAUAAUAAAAUCAGAAUGACUUAACAAGUGUGACAGGUUGUUGCGUUUGAUCAUCUAUGCAUAGUAUAUAUCCAUUUCCUUUAAUUACCCACCACAAACCUCAAUACCAAGUUAAAGCGGAAUAAAAUUCAAAGCAUUGCAAUCAUGCCAACAUAGUGCCGCCUGUCUCCGUUGUAAGAAAGCACUCAGUCGGGCUUUAAAGGGGGAAGGCAUUUCAAUCUGGAGACCACACUCUGCCAAAUACUAUUGGCUAAAAAACAAAUGACCACUGCAUGGGAACUACUCCAAGUUCUAAACUAUCCAGUGCUCUUGUAUAAACCACAGGACAAGACACCCUCUCUGGAGUCUUAGGUAAUGUUAUUAUGUGCCAAGUGAGCCUCCC
rnacentral:lncRNA from 1 species